rnacentral:rRNA from 1 species
CCUACGGGUGGCAGCAGUGGGGAAUAUUGCACAAUGGGGGAAACCCUGAUGCAGCGACGCCGCGUGAGUGAAGAAGUAAUGCGGUAUGUAAAGCUCUAUCAGCAGGGAAGAAAAUGACGGUACCUGAGUAAGAAGCCCCGGCUAACUACGUGCCAGCAGCCGCGGUAAUACGUAGGGGGCAAGCGUUAUCCGGAUUUACUGGGUGUAAAGGGAGCGUAGACGGCAGUGCAAGUCUGGAGUGAAAGGCGGGGGCUCAACCCCCGGACUGCUCUGGAAACUGUACGGCUGGAGUGCAGGAGAGGUAAGUGGACUUCCUAGUGUAGCGGUGAAAUGCGUAGAUAUUAGGAGGAACACCAGUGGCGAAGGCGGCUUACUGGACUGUAACUGACGUUGAGGCUCGAACGCGUGGGGAGCAAACAGGAUUAGAUACCCUUGUAGUC